AAAAGAGGAAGAAAACACAAUUACUUGGCUUUGGUUCUCUUUCUCUCUCUCCUUUUUCUUGCUGCCCCAAAAUCAGAAAUUUAACCUCAAUUUUCCUUGUUGAAUCUUGCUGAAAACUUCAAGGGCAAUUGAAAGUCUUGGAAGGGGAAAAGCUAAGGUAAAGGAAAGGCGGAAGCUGAAUUGGAGUGAGUUCCGAGCUAGGGCGAUGAUUGUACAUGUCAAGACGGCGUGACCUGGAGUGUUCGAUCUCAGGACAUCUUGGGCUAUAUUUUGUAGUCGUUGUGCGACAAGUUGUAAAAAUAUUUUGCUAUUACUUGUAAAAGUUUAAAUACAGAAUCCUAGUUUAUAUAGAUAAAUUAAUAUAUGUU